rnacentral:rRNA from 1 species
UACGGAGGAUGCACGCGUUAUCCGGAAUGAUUGGGCGUAAAGCGUCCGCAGGUGGCUAUGUAAGUCUGCUGUUAAAGAGUGAGGCUCAACCUCAUAAAAGCAGUGGAAACUACAGGGCUAGAGUGCGUUCGGGGCAGAGGGAAUUCCUGGUGUAGCGGUGAAAUGCGUAGAGAUCAGGAAGAACACCGGUGGCGAAAGCGCUCUGCUAGGCCGCAACUGACACUCAUGGACGAAAGCUAGGGGAGCGAAUGGG